UAUUAAUCCUACGGGCAGCAUCUAUGU
rnacentral:sRNA from 1 species